GGCCUCGUAGCUGAUAGAGCGUGCGCUGUACAAAAGCGUAGGCGGCGUCUAUGCGUGGGUUCGAAUCCCACCGAGACUA
rnacentral:tRNA from 1 species